rnacentral:tRNA from 1 species
GCGGGUGUAGCUCAGUGGUAGAGCACUGGCUUCCCAAGCCAGCCGCGAGGGUUCGAUUCCCUUCAUCCGCUCCA